AACCAAAGGAGGCGAGCGUAAGCAGCUCUCACCGAAGGAGGAGCCUGCGUCCGAUUAGCUAGUUGGUGGGGUAAUGGCCUACCAAGGCGACGAUCGGUAGCCGGCCUGAGAGGGCGAUCGGCCACACUGGAACUGAGACACGGUCCAGACUCCUACGGGAGGCAGCAGUGGGGAAUAUUGCGCAAUGGGCGAAAGCCUGACGCAGCGACGCCGCGUGGGUGAUGAAGGCCUUCGGGUCGUAAAGCCCUGUCUGGUGGAACGAAACGCCUGGCGGCCAAUACCCGCUGGGUUUGACGGUACCACCGAAGGAAGCCCCGGCUAACUACGUGCCAGCAGCCGCGGUAAGACGUAGGGGGCGAGCGUUGUUCGGAUUUACUGGGCGUAAAGCGCGCGUAGGCGGCCAGAUAAGUCGGGUGUGAAAGCCCUCGGCUCAACCGAGGUUCCGCAUCCGAUACUGCUUGGCUGGAGUCUAGGAGAGGAGAGCGGAAUUCCCAGUGUAGCGGUGAAAUGCGUAGAUAUUGGGAGGAACACCCGUGGCGAAGGCGGCUCUCUGGACUAGUACUGACGCUGAGGCGCGAAAGCUAGGGGAGCGAACGGGAUUAGAUACCCCGGUAGUCCUAGCCGUAAACGAUGGGCACUAGGUGUGGGAGGUAUUGACCCCUUCCGCGCCGAAGCUAACGCAUUAAGUGCCCCGCCUGGGGAGUACGGCCGCAAGGCUAAAACUCAAAGGAAUUGACGGGGGCCCGCACAAGCGGUGGAGCAUGUGGUUCAAUUCGACGCAACGCGAAGAACCUUACCAGGGCUUGACGUCCCACGAACCUGCCUGAAAGGGCGGGGUGCCCGCAAGGGAGCGCGGAGA
rnacentral:rRNA from 1 species